GAGGAAUACCAUCGGAAUCUACUUUUUCGUGGGGGGAUAACGUAGGGAAACUUACGCUAAUACCGCAUACGACCUACGGGUGAAAGCAGGGGAUCUUCGGACCUUGGCGCGAUUGAAUGAGCCGAUGUCGGAUUAGCUAGUUGGCGGGGUAAAGGCCCACCAAGGCGACGAUCCGUAGNUGGUCUGAGAGGAUGAUCAGCCACACUGGAACUGAGACACGGUCCAGACUCCUACGGGAGGCAGCAGUGGGGAAUAUUGGACAAUGGGCGCAAGCCUGAUCCAGCCAUACCGCGUGGGUGAAGAAGGCCUUCGGGUUGUAAAGCCCUUUUGUUGGGAAAGAAAUCCAGCUGGUUAAUACCCGGUUGGGAUGACGGUACCCAAAGAAUAAGCACCGGCUAACUUCGUGCCAGCAGCCGCGGUAAUACGAAGGGUGCAAGCGUUACUCGGAAUUACUGGGCGUAAAGCGUGCGUAGGUGGUCGUUUAAGUCCGUUGUGAAAGCCCUGGGCUCAACCUGGGAACUGCAGUGGAUACUGGGCGACUAGAAUGUGGUAGAGGGUAGCGGAAUUCCUGGUGUAGCAGUGAAAUGCGUAGAGAUCAGGAGGAACAUCCAUGGCGAAGGCAGCUACCUGGACCAACAUUGACACUGAGGCACGAAAGCGUGGGGGAGCAAACAGGAUUAGAUACCCUGGUAGUCCACGCCCCUAAACGAUGCGAACUGGAUGGUUGGGUGCAAUUUGGCACGCAGGUAUCGAAAGCUAACCGCGUUAAGGUUCGUCCGCCUGCGGGAGUAC
rnacentral:rRNA from 1 species